rnacentral:lncRNA from 12 species
GUUUCCUGCUCUACCAACUGAGCCAGCCAGGAGCUCCUGGAAGUUAUUUUUGUAACUAUGACAAGCCAGGAGAUCAGGGUACCUCUGUAUUCCCUGAUGGACAGACAGGCAGCCUCAGGUCCCUACCAGCUCACCAUUCCUGGGGAGGAGUGCCAGGUCCAACACUGCCAGUUACCAGUUUGCACAGUGUCCUGCAAAAUGUGUGGCUGGCCCUGAUUCCAGGGACCAAAGAACGACCGUUCACCUUCCAUAUUUCACAGAUGCGUCCACGUAGACAUUCACACAUAUGUGCACAAGUGUGCAUGUGUGUCUAUGUAUUUGUGACAGACAAGAGAAAGAGAGAGAGAGAGAGAGAGAGCCUGCAUGACAUUCUUAACACCUGCUCUGCCACCCACUUUCCAGCCUCCUUUGGAAGUCAAGAACUGGGUUCUGAGACCUUCGGUCAGGUGAGCACUGUCCAGGGCUUAGCCAUGUGCAUGUGUGUAUAUGUAUGCAUGUAUGUAUACAUGUGUGUGUAUAUGUGUAGUGUGUGUAUGUAUUUGAGCAUGUAUGUGAGAUCAUAUGCGCAAACUUAAGGGCCAGUGCUUAUGUAGGAGGGUUUCUUUUUCCUCUUUCCAAUACUCCUUUGGAAGCCUUGGGAUCUCUAUUUCAGUCUUCUUCCACACUCAUAUAAGUUAGUAAAAAUCUAAAAUGUAG